rnacentral:lncRNA from 1 species
CCAAUACAGCAGAGUCUGUGGGCACCAUAUGGGGAAGGUGGACAAACACCUAGACCCUGGACUGCCACUUGCUCUUUUGAUUAUGAUGCUUAGGGCGUUCCUUUAAAUUACUUCAAACUGUAGUAUCUCGUAGCUGAUGUACACUCACAUUAAAGGCGCACUAUAGUUACCAAAAUAACUUCAGCUUAAUGAAGUAGUUUUAGUGUAUAGAUCAUGCAUCCUAAGUUUCACUGCUGAAUUCACUGCCAUUUAGGAGUUAAUUAAAUCCCCUUUGCUCUUGUCUAUGCAGCCCUAGCCAUACCUCCCCUGGCUGUGAUUCACAAUGGUUUUAUUUUAAAUCCUGUUAACUUUAAAAGCUUUUACCUUCUACUGUAGAUGGAAUUUUAAUUGCAUACUGAAGGCUCCUGUAGGGUCUAGCAAGCUAUUAACAGAACAGGAGAUAAGUAAUUCUAAAUAAAACAGACUGUGCAAUAAAGGAAGUGUAAACAUUAGAUGACUCUCUACAGGACGUAUUUAGGAAGGCUGUGGUAGUCACAUACAGAGAAGUGUGCCUAGGGCUGUAUAAACAAAGUAAUUUAACUCCUAAAUAGCAGAGAAUUGAGCAGUGAGACCGCAGGGGCAUAUUUGUAUACCAAGACGGAUUUAUUAAGCUAAAGUUGUUUUGAUGACUAUAGUGUAUCUAUAAGCCAGUUUGAAGCUUGUAUAAUAUAUUUAAUGAUGACAAAUUACCACAAUGUCAAACAAUUUAAGUUGUGCUAUGAACGGCACCAUUCUUAACAUCCUUUCUCAAUUUAAAACAACAUUAUUUACAUCGUUCUUUACAAAAUGUCUUAGGUUUGAUUGUGGGGUAACAACAUAAAACAGACUGUAGAACCACCUUUGUACAUUGGAACCAACUACUGUGAUCUUAAAUAUGUAGGCACGAUUCCAAUCUUCUUUCACUGGGUGCUUCUCAUAGUCAUAGUCAAUCACUUAUAAUCCAUUUAUUGAUAAAAAAAUAACCUUCUCUGUUGUGGCACUGAAAUGAUUAUUGUUAUUAUUAUUGCCAUUUAUAUAGCGCUUCCGUACAGAUUCCGUAGCGCUUUACAAUAUUAUGAGAGGGGGGAUUUAACUAUAAAUAGGAUAAUUACAGGAAAACUUACAGGAAUGAUAGGUUGAAGAGAACCCUGGUCAAAUGAGCUUACAGUCUAUAGGAGGUGGGGUGUAAAACACAAUAGGACAGGAAAUAGCAAUCAAAUAAGGUGAGAGUGAAGCAGAGCUGGAGGAGAGAGUAAAGUGCUGCCCUUUAGGAGAGAGCAAGAAAUAGGUAUGUAAGGUAGAGGUUUCUCUGAGAGGCCAUAAGCUUUCCUAAAGAGAUGGGUUUUAAGGCACUUUUUAAAUGAUUGAAGACUAGGGGAGAGUCUGAUGGCGAUAGGCAGGCUAUUCCAUAUGAAGGGAGCCGCCCGUGAGAAUUCCUGCAAGCACAAGUUGGCCAUACGGUGCGAGCAGCGGACAGGAGAAGGUCACAGGCAUAGCGGAGAGACCGAGAAGGGGCAUACCUAUGGAUCUGUAAAGAGAUGGGUUAGCACUUUGAAUUGACUCCUAUAGGACACAGGAAGCCAAUAUAAGGACUGACAGAGAGGUGAGGUGUGAGAGGACCCACUAUAGAGGAAAAUCAUUACAGACUGUAGCGGAAUAAUACGUCUUUUGGGAAGACCAAUUAGGAGAGGGUUACAAUAAUCCAUGCAGGGAAUUACUAGAGCAUGCACAAGCUCCUUGGUAGCAUCUUGCGUAAGAAAGAGGCGGAUGCGGGCUAUGUUUCUAGAAAGGAAUCUACAGGAUUUGGCAACAUACUGGAUGUGAGGCUCAAAGGUGAGGCCAGAAUCAAGUGGACUUAUGUGGAUACCACUAAUUUGAAGGGAGAGUGAAAGAGGAGGAUCAGUAUUAGGAGAAGGAAAGACGAGCUCAGUUUUAGAGAGAUUGAGUUUCAGAAAGUAGGAGGACAUCCAGUCAGAAAUGGAAGAAAGGCAAGCAGUGACACGUUGCAGGACGGCAGAGGAGAGGUCUGGGGAGGAGAUAUAGCUGGGUGUCAUCAGCGUACAGGUGGUAGUGGAAUCCAAAAGAGGUAAUAUGUUUGCCAAGAGAGGCAGUAUAAAGAGAAAAUACAAGGGGACCAAGAACAGAGGGCCUCCAACCGAGACAGGAUGAGGGGAGGAGGUGUCAUUAGAAAAGGAGACACUGAAUGAGCAUUGGGAGAGAUAAGAGGAAAACCACGAGAGGACAGAGUCACAGAGACUGAAUGAUUGAAGAGUUUGAAGAAGGAGAGCAUGAUCAACGGUGUCAAAAACAGCAGAGAGGUCAAGAAGAAGUAGUAUGGAGUAGUGGCCUUUGGAUUUAGCUGCGAUUAGGUCGUUAGUAACUUUGAUAAGAGCAGUUUCAGUAGAGUGGAGAGGGCGGAAGCCAGAUUGAAGAGAGUCAAGGAGAGAGUUGGAAUUGAGGUAGUUAGACGUACGAGUAAAAUCAAGUCUUUCCAGAAGCUUUGAGGAGAAAGGGAGCAGGGAUAUGGGACAAUAGUUAGAGGAGGAGGACGGGUCAGCAGGGACAACGCCAGAAGAG